rnacentral:rRNA from 1 species
GACGAACGCUGGCGGCGUGCUUAACACAUGCAAGUCGAACGGAAAGGCCCUGCUUUUGUGGGGUGCUCGAGUGGCGAACGGGUGAGUAACACGUGAGUAACCUGCCCUUGACUUUGGGAUAACUUCAGGAAACUGGGGCUAAUACCGGAUAGGAGCUCCUGCUGCAUGGUGGGGGUUGGAAAGUUUCGGCGGUUGGGGAUGGACUCGCGGCUUAUCAGCUUGUUGGUGGGGUAGUGGCUUACCAAGGCUUUGACGGGUAGCCGGCCUGAGAGGGUGACCGGCCACAUGGGGACUGAGAUACGGCCCAGACGCCUACGGGAGGCAGCAGUGGGGAAUAUUGCACAAUGGGCGGAAGCCUGAUGCAGCAACGCCGCGGGCGGGAUGACGGCCUUCGGGUUGUAAACCGCUUUCGCCUGUGACGAAGCGUGAGUGACGGUAAUGGGUAAAGAAGCACCGGCUAACUACGUG